rnacentral:tRNA from 1 species
AUUUAUGUAGUAUAAUAAAUAUUUUUAACUUCCAAUUAAAAGAUCUAAACAUUAGCAUAAAUA